UAGGCGGACAGCAGCCCCCUGCCGAACGGAGAGGAGGUUGUGAACAUCCUGCUGCUGUCCCAGGUGUUUUUUAACUAGCAAUUAACGUCGGAUGGAUGGGACAGAUGACACCUGCGUUCCAAAUCGCAUACUACAUACUAGCUACUAUUUACUAGUAAGCCAUAAAAAAAAUUGUAUGUUCCAAUAGUAGGCUAGCCUAUGUCAAAUUCAGUAUGCGAAAAAUAUAUAACCACUCGGCUAGAUAAAUGUGUAGGUCAGAAGUCUGUGCUGCUAACCUUAGCCACACUGCUAAGUCGUUAGUUAUGGGAGGGGUGGUGUAGGCCUACUGUACAACAUUGUAAACUGGGCUUUAUAGACUAUCAGUUUUUUGGCAGAAUGCCAGAAUUAGAAAUGAACUGAGGACUUAUGUGAGACAAGAAACUUUCUCUCAUGCCUGAAUUGAACUGAAAAAUACACUGGACUUUUACUGAUAUGGAUAACGCACUCCAGUGGUGGAACUGCAUUAGGCUACAUAAGCUAAACUGCAGGUGGAUGAUGAAGCCAGAAGCUCAUCGAGGUGUACCCCCCACACUCCAGUUGACCCCGUUCAUCCCCCCGGCAGUAGACCCUCCUUUUCAUCCCUCUCCUCAUCCGUUGUCUUCCCACCGAACAUGACCCUCAUCCUAUCCUUCCCGUAUCCUCUGGCUAUUCCAAAAUAAAAACGACUUUUAUACCGUA